rnacentral:tRNA from 1 species
CUCCGCUUGGUGUAGUUGGUUUAUCACGUUCGACUGUAAAAUAACUUUGUUAUCGAAAGGUCCCUAGUUCGAUUCUGGGAGCGGAGA